rnacentral:lncRNA from 1 species
GGACGGCAAGAGUUGAUGGUAGAACCAUUUUUUUUGCUCGAGUGCUUUGAAGUUUUCCUUGAUAGUGUGAGGUUGAUGGAAUAAUGAGUUUUAUAGGGACUUUCUUGAUGUAAAACUAUACAUUUUUAAUUUUUUUUUGUUUAAUGAGGUAUUUUCAUUUUUAUAUAAUUUACUACCAUUUUAAGAUAGAUGUACAUUUUAAGAUCGAUGUUUAAAUCUUAAUGUACUUUUUCCAUUUUUUAAAAUGUUUAUUUCCAUUUCUUAUAUUUUUAUUUACGUAAUAUCUAUAUUUUAUAUUUUAAAAUAGAUAUUUAAAUCUUAAUGUACUUUUUCCUUUUUUUAAAUUGUGUAUUUACUUUUAUCAUAUAUUUUACAUUUUAAGAUAGAUGUUUAAUGCUUAAUGAACUUUUUCCCUUUUUUAAAAAAUUGUGUAUUUACUUAUUAUUAUAGAUAUAAUUCAUAUAUUAUAUAUUUAUAUUAUUUAAUUAUUAUUUAUUUUCCUGUAUAUGUAUUUCCAUUUCUUGUACUUUUUAUUUACUUAAUAUAUCUAUUUUACAUUUUAAGAUAGAUGUUUAAAUCUUAAUGUAGGUUUUCCCUUUUUUUUUAAAUUGUAUAUUUCCAUUUGUUAUACUUUCUAUUUACGUAAUAUCUAUAUUUUAAAUUUUAAGAUAUAUUUUUAAAUCUUAAUGUAAUUUUCCAUUUUUUAAAUUGGGUAUUUUCUUAUAUUAUAUAUUUACUUAUUAUUUUUUUUUUAUAUUUUGUAUUUCUAUUUCUUAUACUUUCUAUUUACUAAUAAUUUUAUAAUUUAAGAUAGAUUUACAUUUUAAGAUAGAUGUUUAAAUACUAAUGUACUUUUUCCAUUUUUUAAAUUGUGUAUUUCCUUUUCUUAUACUUUCUAUUUGCGUAAUAUCUAUAUUUUAUAUUUGAAGAUAGAUGUUUAAAUCUUAAUAUACUUUUUCCAUUGUUUUUAAGUUGUGUUUUUUUUUCUUAUACUUUCUAUUUACUUAAUAUCUAUAUUUUACAUUUUAAGAUUGAUGUUUAAUAUUUAAUGUACUCUUUCCAUUUUUUAAAAAUUGUGCAUGUACUUAUUAUUGUAUAUAUAAUUCGUAUAUUUAUAUAUUUAUAAUAUUUACUUAUUAUUUAUUUUUCUAUAUAUUGAGUAUUUUCUCUUUCUUAUACUUUAUAUUUAGUUAAUAUCUAUAUUUUAUAUUUUAAGAUAGAUGUUUAAAUCUUAAUGUAUUUUUACAUUUUUAAUGUAAAACAGCAAUGUUUAAUAGAAGAAGUUGGACAAAUAGUCAAAUAGUUAUAUUUAUGUUUUUUUUCUUUUUUUAUAAAAUGGUAAUGUUACAUUAUGGAGAUAAUCCGCUUUUUUUUAGUGAAAAAUGGAAAUCUUACAUAUGUUUAAUGUAGUUUUUCUAUUUUUUUUAUGUUGUAUGUUUACAUAUUAUUGUUAUUUUUAAAUGUAAAAUGGUAAUAUUACAUAUGUUUAAUUUAGUAUUUUCAUUUUUUUUAUGUUGUAUGUUUAUAUAUUAUUUAUUAUUUUCGAAAUUAUAUAUAAUGUUUUUUUUACAAAAUAGUAAUUUUACAUUAUGGAGAUAAACCGUCUUUUUUAGUGAAAAAUGGUAAUCUUACAUAUGUUUAAUGUAGUUUUUCUAUUUUUUAUGUUGUAUGUUUACAUAUUAUUAUUUUUUUAAAUUAAAAAUGUAAAAUGGUAAUCUUACAUAUGUUUAAUGUAGUAUUUCCAUUUUUUAUGUUGUAUGUUUACAUAUAUUUAUUAUUUUCGAAAUUAUAUAUAAUGUUUUUUGUUUUUUUUAUAAAAUGGUAAUGUUACAUUAUGGAGAUAAGCCGUCUUUUUUUCAAGUGAAAAAUGGUAAUCUUACAUAUGUUUAAUGUAGUUUUUCUAUUUUUAUGCUGUAUGUUUACAUAUUAUUUAUAAUUUACGAAAAUUAGUAAUAUUAAAGUAUAAAACUAUCUUUUAUGCUACGUGUCAUCUUUUGGGAAAUGUUUUUUUUGCUGAUGUGGACGCUCUAUGGAGCCUCAAAAGGUCCCUUUUAUUAGUAAGGACUAGGGAUUAACCCGGGCUACGCCCGAGAUUUUUAUUUUUUUCUAAUUUAAGUUGUUAAAUUAUUUAUAUUUAGGUUAUGAUAUAUAUUUAUAUAAAUGUUAAGAUGCAUGUCAUAAUUAAAAUUUAUUUUUAAAUUUUAACACGUUAAAGUAACAUAUUUUUUACUGUUUAAAUAUUUUUUGUAAUUUUGUUGGCUAUCUAGUUAUCAUAUUUAGCAAAACUAUUGUUGAGUAUUUGAAUAAAUGUUUUAGAUAUUUAAUUAAACUGUAGAGUAUUUUCGGUUCGACCAUAUGCUCAACAAUCUAUUGAUCCGUAAAAAGAUGGACGAUCUCCUUGGCCAGGUAAGUAAAAUUUUAGCAAAAAUAUCUUUGAUUUUCAAAUAUUAAGUAUAUAACUUUUCUUUUGAAUAUUGUUUUUUAAUUGUAUUUUUUGAUUAAAUUAUUGUAUUAUAAUGUUUAUGUAAAUAUUUUGUGUGAUGUUUGAAUUUGUGUUGUUCGUAUACUUAACCUAGAUGAUAUUGAUGUUUAACAAUUUAUUGUUUUCUGGAAAUAGAAAAUAAUGAUAUAUCAAAAAGUAUCUAAUACUUGUUAAAUGAUAGUAUAAUGUAAAUUACAUCCAUUAUUUGAAAAUAACCAUUUGUUGUUUUUAUUUUUUUUAAAUCAGAAAUUAUUUUUAUUUAAAAACAUUAUUCAUAUAUAAUAUAUUAGUUUAAUUUUGGAAGAUUAAUUUAUAUAUAUAAAUUAUGUAUAUUUAAAAAAAAAUUUAAAAUAUUAUAUAUUGAGUAACUGAAUAAAAGCUGAAUUUCUUAUCUUGAAAAUCAAAUAUUUAUAAUUUUGUCUUCUUGUUGUACUCAUAUUUAUAACUCAGUAUGUUUUUAAAAAACUUAGUUUUAAGUAAUAAACGAAUUUAAUAAAUUAAAUUCAUCACCUAUAAUGUUCUGUAAACUAUAUUUGAAAACUCUCUAAAAUUAUAUUUUAAGCAUAAUAUUACUAUUAUUUAAUUUAAGUUAUUUUAAGCAUAAUAUAUGCUAAACCAACUUAAAUUAUAUUUACAAUAGGACCAUCCUAAACUGGUUAAUAAACCAAAAAUAAUACUAAACCAACAUGAACCAAUACUUGAUUUGGCGAGGAAGGAAGUGUUUCGGGAUAAACGCUUGAAUGAUUAUUAACUGUAAUGGUUUGAUCAUGAAAGAGUUAGUACGAAUAUUAACAAUAAAAUUAUGGAUUUGAUUAAUUUAAAUUUGUAAGAAUACCUUUGAGUCUAUGAAAAGCAAUUCAAUUCCCAUGAAUAAGUUUGGUUUUUGAAAGUUGCGGGUUUCCCAACAAUGAAUCCACCUAACAAAAAGUUCGUUGUUAUAAAAAAUCUCUUUCAAGGUCAUUAAAGGUUUUUGGGACGGCAAGAGUUGAUGGUGGAACCAUUUUUUUGCUCGAGUGCUUUGAAAUUUUCCUUGAUAGUGUGAGGUUGAUGUUGAUGGAAUAAUGAGUUUUAUAGGGACUUUCUUGAUGUAAAACUAUACAUUUUUAUUUUUUUUGUUAAAUGUGGUAUUUCCAUUUUUAUAUAAUUUACUACCAUUUUAAGAUAGUUGUACAUUUUAAGAUCUAUGUUUAAAUCUUAAUGUACUUUUUCCAUUUUUUAAAAUGUUUAUUUCCAUUUCUUAUAUUUUUUAUUUACGUAAUAUCUAUAUUUUAUAUUUUAAAAUAGAUAUUUAAAUCUUAAUGUACUUUUUCCAUUUUUUUUUAAUUGUGUAUUUACUUUUAUCAUAUAUUUUAUAUUUUAAGAUAGAUGUUUAAUGCUUAAUGAACUUUUUCCAUUUUUUUAAAAAAUUGUGUAUUUACUUAUUAUUAUAUAUAUAAUUCAUAUAUUAUAUAUUUAUAUUAUUUACUUAUUAUUUAUUUUCCUGUAUAUGUAUUUCCAUUUCUUGUACUUUUUAUUUACUUAAUAUCUCUAUUUUACAUUUUAAGAUAGAUGUUUAAAUCUUAAUGUACGUUUUCCUUUUUUUUAAAUUGUAUAUUUCCAUUUGUUAUACUUUCUAUUUACGUAAUAUCUAUAUUUUAAAUUUUAAGAUAUAUUUUUAAAUCUUAAUGUAAUUUUCCAUUUUUUAAAUUGGGUAUUUUCUUAUAAUAUAUAUUUACUUAUUAUUAUUUUUUUCUUUAUAUUGUGUAUUUCUAUUUCUUAUACUUUUUAUUUACUAAUAAUUUUAUAAUUUAAGAUAGAUUUACAUUUUAAGAUUGAUGUUUAAAUACUAAUGUACUUUUUCCGUUUUUUAAAUUGUGUAUUUCCUUUUCUUAUACUUUCUAUUUGCGUAAUAUCCAUAUUUUAAAUUUUAAGAUAGAUGUUUAAAUCUUAAUAUACUUUUUUAUUGUUUUUAAGUUGUGUAUUUCUUUUUCUUAUACUUUUUAUUUACUUAAUAUCUAUAUUUUACAUUUUAAGAUAGAUGUUUAAUAUUUAAUGUACUCUUUCCAUUUUUUAAAAAUUGUGCAUGUACUUAUUAUUGUAUAUAUAAUUCGUAUAUUUAUAUAUUUAUAAUAUUUACUUAUUAUUUAUUUUUAUAUAUAUUUAAAAUUGGAGAUAAACCGUCUUUUUUAGUGAAAAAUGGUAAUCUUACAUAUGUUUAAUGUAGUUUUUCUAUUUUUUAUGUUGUAUGUUUACAUAUUAUUUUUUUUAAAAUUAAAAAUGUAAAAUGGUAAUCUUACAUAUGUUUAAUGUAGUAUUUCCAUUUUUUAUGUUGUAUGUUUACAUAUAUUUAUUAUUUUCGAAAUUAUAUAUAAUGUUUUUUGUUUUUUUUAUAAAAUGGUAAUGUUACAUUAUGGAGAUAAGCCGUCUUUUUUUCAAGUGAAAAAUGGUAAUCUUACAUAUGUUUAAUGUAGUUUUUCUAUUUUUAUGCUGUAUGUUUACAUAUUAUUUAUAAUUUACGAAAAUUAGUAAUCCUUACUAAUAAAAGGGACCUUUUGAGGCUCCAUAGAGCGUCCACAUCAGCAAAAAAAACUUUUCCCAAAAGAUGACACGUAGCAUAAAAGAUAGUUUUAUACUUUAAUAUUACUAAUUUUCUGAAUGCAAUUUUGAGUGUCGUCAUUUCAAGAAAUGACAUGUAGUUUUUCUAUUUUUAUGCUGUAUGUUUACAUAUUAUUUAUAAUUUACGAAAAUUAGUAAUAUUAAAGUAUAAAACUAUCUUUUAUAUUAUAUUUACUUAAAAUACAAGAUUGAAUUAGAUUUUCUUUAAUGACUGCAGUUUAAUAAAUUUUGAAAUCAUUUUAACAUAUAAUUUAUAUGUUUACAUCUAUAUAAUAACUAAAUGUUUAUAUUUAAAUAUGUAAUUACUUAAAUCUAUAUUAAUAUUUUAAUAUUUUUCAUAUAAAUAAUUGUAAAAUGAUAUAUUAUUAGUAGACGGUUUACAUAAUUGUUAAUGUUAUGUCUUUUGACAUAAUUAAUAGAUGUUUAAAUUCAUUUUUAAGGAUUAACAUAUUUAGAUAACUUACAUAUGUUUACUUCAUAAUUAUAAGUAAACAUAUAAUUUAAAUUAUUGUAUAAACAUAAAAUGAUAUUGAUGGUAAUGUUACAUAUGUUUAAUGUAGUUUAGAUAUUAAAUAAGAGUUGUGUAAACUAUAUUUUUAUCACAAAUAUGUAAAAAUUUAAGUACAUUAGUAUUUAAACAUACAUUUAUUUGGAAACAAUUAUUAAAGAUAAAUAUUACAUGUCCAAGUUCUUAAUCACGAUUAAACAGAUACCCUCAAUAUGAGAUGUAACAUUAUGAAAUCUAGGGAUUAACCCGGGCUACGCCCGGGAUUUUUUUUUUUUUUUAAAUUUAAGUUGUUAAAUUAUUUAUAUUUAGUUUAUGAUAUAUAUUUAUAUAAAUGUUAAGAUGCAUGUUAUAAUUAAAAUUUAUUUUUAAAUUUUAACACGUUAAAGUAACAUAUUUUUUACUGUUUAAAUAUUUUUUGUAAUUUUGUUGGCUAUCUAGUUAUCAUAUUUAGCAAAACUAUCUGUUGAGUAUUUGAAUAAAUGUUUUAGAUAUUUAAUUAAACUGCAGAGUAUUUUCGGUUCGACCACAUGCUCAACAAUCUAUCGAUCCGUAAAAAGAUGGACGAUCUCCUUGGCCAGGUAAGUAAAAUUUUAGCAAAAUAUCUUUGAUUUUCAAAUAUUAAGUAUAUAACUAUUCUUUUGAAUAUUGUUUUUUAAUUGUAUUUUUUGAUUAAAUUAUUGUAUUAUAAUGUUUAUGUAAAUAUUUUUUGUGAUGUUUGAAUUUGUGUUAUUCGUAUACUUAACCUAGAUGAUAUUGAUGUUUAACAAUUUAUUGUUGUCCGGAAAUAGAAAAUAAUGAUAUAUCAAAAAGUAUCUAAUACUUGUUAAAUGAUAGUAUAAUGUAAAUUACAUCCAUUAUUUGAAAAUAACCAUUUGUUGUUUUUAUUUUUUUUUAAAUCAGAAAUUAUUUUUAUUUAAAAACAUUAUUCAUAUAUAAUAUAUUAGUUUAUGUUUGGAAGAUUAAUCUAUAUAUAUAAAUUAUGUAUAUUUAAAAAAAAAUUUAAGAUAUUAUAUAUUGAGUAACUGAAUAAAAGCUGAAUUUCUUAUCUUGAAAAUCAAUAUUUAUAUUUUUGUCUUCAUGUUGUACUCAUAUUUAUAACUCAGUAUGUUUUUUUAAAAAACUUAGUUUUAAGUAAUAAACGAAUUUAAUAAAUUAAAUUCAUCUCCUAUAUGUUCUGUAAACUAUAUUUGAAAACUCUUUAAAAUUAUAUUUUAAGCAUAAUAUUACUAUUAUUUAAUUUAAGUUAUUUUAAGCAUAAUAUAUGCUAAACCAACUUAAAUUAUAUUUACAAUAGGACCAUCCUAAACCGGUUAAUAAACCAAAAACAAUACUAAACCAACAUGAACCAAUACCUGAUUCAGCGAGGAAGGAAGUGUUUCGGGAUAAACGCUUGAAUGAUUAUUAACUGUAAUGGUUUGAUCAUGAAAGAGCUAGUACGAAUAUUAACAAUAAAAUUAUGGAUUAGAUUAAUUUAAAUUUGUAAGAAUACCUUUGAGUCUAUGAAAAGCAAUUCAAUUCCCAUGAAUAAGUUUGGUUUUUGAAAGUUGCGGGUUUCCCAACAAUGAAUCCACCUAACAAAAAGUUUGUUGUUAUAAAAAAUCUCUUUCAAGGUCAUUAAAGGUUUUUGGGACGGCAAGAGUUGAUGGUAGAACCAUUUUUUUGCUCGAGUGCUUUGAAGUUUUCCUUGAUAGUGUGAGGUUGAUGGAAUAAUGAGUUUUAUAGGGACUUUCUUGAUGUAAAACUAUACAUUUUUAAUUUUUUUUUGUUUAAUGAGGUAUUUUCAUUUUUAUAUAAUUUACUACCAUUUUAAGAUAGAUGUACAUUUUAAGAUCGAUGUUUAAAUCUUAAUGUACUUUUUCCAUUUUUUAAAAUGUUUAUUUCUAUUUCUUAUAUUUUUUAUUUACGUAAUAUCUAUAUUUUAUAUUUUAAAAUAGAUAUUUAAAUCUUAAUGUACUUUUUCCUUUUUUAAAUUGUGUAUUUACUUUUAUCAUAUAUUUUACAUUUUAAGAUAGAUGUUUAAUGCUUAAUGAACUUUUUCCAUUUUUUAAAAAAUUGUGUAUUUACUUAUUAUUAUAGAUAUAAUUCAUAUAUUAUAUAUUUAUAUUAUUUAAUUAUUAUUUAUUUUCCUGUAUAUGUAUUUCCAUUUCUUGUACUUUUUAUUUACUUAAUAUCUCUAUUUUACAUUUUAAGAUAGAUGUUUAAAUCUUAAUGUAGGUUUUCCCUUUUUUUUAAAUUGUAUAUUUCCAUUUGUUAUACUUUCUAUUUACGUAAUAUCUAUAUUU